rnacentral:lncRNA from 1 species
GAAAACACACCUAAAAACAAACAACAAUGCCAAUCCAAUUGCUUGGUUUGAGAUCUUGUUUUUUGGGUUCUGAUGAAUUUUUUGUUUUUGUUUUCUAUCUUCUUUCUUUAAUCUCUGAAUAAUUCCUGCAUUUGCUUAGCUUGCAACUCAGACCUGACAGCAGUGCAAUUCAAACCAGCUUGUUUCUCCCUCCAUUAUUAUAUUACUCCUUCCUCUCUCUUUCUCUUUUUUCUUAUAUUGUAAUGGAAAUGCACAA